GCCAGGGAAAGUGAGUGUGAGCCGACCCCUCUGUUCCGUGGCCUCUCUGCACUCCACCAGGGGGCGGCAGCGGCCAGUUCCCACAGGACUGCAGGGUCUGCGCCGGCAGGGGGGCCGGCGCACACGGCUAUCCUCACCAAGACGACUUCCCCCGGGAUCGGCACGGGUAGCCGGUCUCGGAAUCUCACGUUCAAUUCCUUGACCGGCACGAGCAGCGCCAGGCUGAGCGCGGAGAUGGUCAUUUCGGCCGGACUGCUCCGGGGCAGCGCAGUCAGCACGGCGGCCAGCGUCUGAGGGCAGGGGCGAUGAGCAGAGGGCCCCGUGCCAGGGUUCGUGCGCCCCGGCGCGGGCCCCCCAGAGCGAGGCCUUCUCUCCCCAGUGCCACCAGGGCUUACACCUCCUCAGCGCCCUCGUUCGGCCACGUGGCUCCAACCCCCUUUCCUGCGCCCUUGUCACAUACUACCCCUCCACCCUCCGUCCUUCCUCCCUUUUCGAGUUUCCCUAUUCCCGGGACCUCUAGAAGCCCCUUCUCCUUUCUUCUCCCACCCCCACCUUGAAGAGAGAGAAGCAGCCGAUCUGGCGCGGGAGGGACAACCCCAAGAGGCUCGGCAGCUGGGAUACGAGCACGUGCAGCGCGGCCCCGCUGGUCAGCGCCUUGACCACAGGCUCGGACAAAAAGGUGGACAAGACGCCGAGCUGCAGCACGAACAUCCCCAGCUGCGGGGGAGAAGACGCGCUGUCACCAUCUAGAGGAGGAGCAAACCAACCCCGCGCACCUCCGCCCUCCCGAACCCAAGCCGAAAGCUGGUCCCUCCCUCUUCCCCGGCCCAGUUUCCCCGGCCUCUCAGCAGGGAUCCCCCGGGAUCCUCCCCGGGUCCUCCCUCACCAUCAACGCCCCGCUCCCGAAGGCCACGGCCGCGGCUACCCCAACCCGCUGAGCGUCCAGCUGCUCCUUCUCGAUUCCGCUCAGGUUCCCCACGAGGGGUUCCGACACCAGCCGCUCGACGGCAGAGCCUGUCAUGAGGCUGAGUAUGGCGAAAGUUCCUGCCUCCGGGGGACAAAUGCAGACAUCACCAGCUGUGCAGCCCUGGGCAGGGAAACAGCUCAGGGUCCACGCCCUGGGUCCGAGAUCCUGCUGCCAGACUCCGCUCUCCCAAGAAGGCUGCUGCCCCGUCAAGACUGUGGGGCGCGAAGAGCUACGCUAGCCGGCAAAAACUGCUCCCUCCUGCAGAUUCUCUGCCUACUGCGUGCCCCUUUGGGGGACCAUGCACCUAUUCUUCCACUUCCAAGUCCCUGAGAUGUUCAUUUUAACCAAAUUUCAUAGGGGAAAAAAGUUCAGGGAAGAAGAGUCAUUGGAAGUCCCUGGUCACUCACCUGUGGACAGGUGUCUCCCAGUACCUAGCAAGCUAUAGAUGAGGACGGGGAAGAAAGAAGUGUAGAGUCCAAACACCGGGGGCACGGAGGCCAGGAGAGCAAAAGUCAUGCCUGGGAUAAAAGUGGAUGGAAAGGUGUGCUGUGGGGAGGGGGCCUUGUCCAACCUCCAGGACUUAAAUGCACUUCCCAGACUCUUAGGGACUGGCAUCAAGGAUGCUAAAUCAUGCCUCAUGAGGGAACUGAGGGGUUAAUGGGCCUCAGUGGGCGGUCAUGGGGCAGACAAGGUCAGGGACGCUGUGGCCAAGUCCUGGGGGCCAGGUGUUGUGCCUCUCUCCAGUUCUCUGAGCCAGAACCUGUCUAAGGCUUCUCGCAGGAUUGCGCAGAUGAGGGGAGGUGGGGGUGGGGAUCUGAUGGAGCUCCACAGUCCUUACCUCAAACUUGGCCUCAGAUCCCUCUCUCUCACCCUCAAUGGCAUGAACCCACCAUCUGCUCCCGGAUUCCCAGCUCCCUACGCCUCCUCCCGGAAGCCCUCUAGAGCUUGUGCUCCCGACAGGCCGCUGUUAGGGCCUCUCACCCUGGGGCACGUGCACGAUGCCCACGGUCACUCCGGCCACCGCAUCUCCGAGCAGCCAGGCCCGCCAGCGGUAAUAGGGCAGCCAGUGCAGCGCGGGCAGCCGAGCCAGCAGCAGGCGCCACGCCCCCGUCCCGGAACAAGCGCGAGCCCGCAGCCUCCACAGCCCGAAGAGCCAGGGAAAGCGGCGCUCUGCAGGUAGCUCCGGUUCCUGCUCUUCGCGCCCGAAGAGCUGAUGGAACCGAGCCUCGGCCAGGCGAAAUGGCUCACGCCUGUAAUCCCAGCACUUUGAGGCCGAGGCAGGUGGAUCACCUGAGGUCAGGAGUUUGAGACCAGCCUGACCAACAUGGAGGUGGAGGUUGCAGUGAGCCGAGAUGGAGCCACUGCAUUCAAGCCUGGGCGACAGAGCCAGACUACAUCUCAAAAAGAACAAAAAACAAACAAACAAACAAAAACAAAUGCUGUUCACAAAGUAGGCAUUCAAAAGCACAUAUUGGUCAAACUAAGUGCAAAGGAGUCAGCCACCCCCCUCAUGUGUCCCUAUGGUUCCUAAAUAAAUAUAAAGGUUCUAAGUCCA